UACGUAGGGUGCGAGCGUCAAUCGGAAUUACUGGGCGUAAAGCGUGCGUAGGCGGUUCUCCAAGUCCGUUGUGAAAGCCCCGGGCUCAACCUGGGAAUGGCAGUGGAAACUAGGGGACUGGAAUCUGGCAGAGGGGGGUGGAAUGCCGCGUGUAGCAGUGAAAUGCGUAGAGAUGCGGCGGAACACCGAUGGCGAAGGCAGCCCCCUGGGCUGAGAUUGACGCUCAGGCACGAAAGCGUGGGGAGCAAACAGG
rnacentral:rRNA from 1 species